AAUUCAAACCUGCCAAACAACAGGACUCAAGCAUUUCGCUCGACAUUCAUGUUUUUCCUUUGAAAAUACUAAAUUCUUGUUAGGUUGGUUUAGAUGAAGGUAUUAAGUGUCAAGGAAUGAACCUCAUUUCAUUGGCAAUUGAAUACCAUUAUCUAAAGCACACCUAACAAAAAUUUAUUCUUUUCAAAGGAAAACAUGAAUGCCGGGCGAAAUGCGUGACUCAUGUUGUUUGGCAGGUUUGAAUUU
rnacentral:pre_miRNA from 1 species